CGGCGCGCCCGUAGCAACGGGCAGCCAUGCCGGUGUGGCUGCGGGAGUACAGCUGGCGGCAGACUGGCUCCACCGUGUACCUCUCGCUGCCGUUGCGCGGCGGGCGGGCCACCCCCGCCAGCAUCUUCUGCACUGACCAGUACUUGAAGGUAAGCAUCCCUCCCUUUUUAUUUGAAGCUGUUUUAUAUGCUCCUAUUGAUGACACAAAUAGCACCGCAAAAAUUGGAAAUGGAAUAAUUUUCUUCACUUUGUAUAAAAAAGAAGUGGCCAUGUGGGAUUCCCUAACACUAGCAAAUGUUAACAAGGAGAAACUGCAAUAUCUAAGAGAGAAUGCUGUUCUAAAAGCCCAUGAAAAGGCAAAAGAGGAGACGGAAGCAAAAAAAGUUACAAAACAGGAACACAAAAAAUAUGCUUUGGAAGCCACAAUGAAGCUAGAAGAAGCAGAAAGAAAAAGAAUUGAAGAUCUAAAAGAAAAGGAGCGGCAGAAGGUCACUAAGGAGUUGGAGUUAUGGGAAAACCAGCAAAAAGAUGCUGAAAAACAGAAGGAGGUACAAAAAGAAGGGGAACUACAUCAUGAAGUGGAGCAACUAAAGGAGAAGAAAAAGGAAAAAAUUGGCCAAACUAGGAUUCCUAAUGAAGGAACUUCAAAGGCCAGAUUCAAACCUACUAAAGGUCAUGGUUCCUAUAGCAUGUUUUCAGAAAAUUUAAAGGAAGAACAGUUACCAGCUCCUCGCUCUGCUGCUACAAUUAAAAUUAACUUUACAGCACGAGUUUUUCCUACAGCUCUGAGAGAAUCUCGCAUCGCAGAAGAGGAGGAGUGGCUACGUAAACAAGCAGAAGCUCGAAGAACAAUAAGUGCUGAUUUGUCUGAGCUGGAAGAUUUAAAAGAAGAGGAGAAGAAUCCAGACUGGUUAAAGGACAAAGGAAACAAAAUGUUUGCAACAGGAAACUAUCUUGCAGCUGCAAACGCAUAUAACCUCGCAGUGCGGCUAAACAAUAAGCUUCCCCUACUUUAUCUGAAUCGUGCUGCUUGCCACCUUAAACUGAGAAAUUUACAUAAAGUCAUUGAAGAUUCCUCUAAGGCACUAGAACUGCUGACACCACCUGUUCCUGAUAAUGAGAAUGCUCGAGUAAAAGCAUAUGUGAGACGUGGAACAGCGUUUUGUCAGCUGGAAUUAUAUGCUGAAGGUCUCCAGGAUUAUGAAGCAGCUCUCAAGAUUGAUCCUAAAAAUGAAACUAUAGAAAAAGAUGCUGAGAAGAUUCGACACCUAAUUCAAGGAACAAUGCAAGAUUAUUAAUUAAAAAAAAAAAAAACAACAAAACAAAACAACAAAACAAAUCAAAAACUUUUUGACAGGGAUGCUUUUUGGGGGCAUCAGAAGGAAUCUUAGUUCUCUUCAAUAUGUUGUUAACUAGACAUUUUUCUGUUUCACUCAAAACACCUACAGAAUUGUAAAGGACUGGAUAUAUGAAUUGCUAUUUUUGGAAAGUAUAGCAUUAUAACAAAUAUUAUUAGAUAUAUUUUAUAUCAUUUUGAUACAAACUUGUCAUAUUUUUGCUUUCUGUGACAUAUUGGUAGGCUAAAUAUUAAAACAUGCUUUUGGUACUUGAUUUGAAGUUACUCAUAACUAAGUGAAAUAUUUGUCUGGAAAUAUCUACUGAAUCAGACAAUGAGUUUUCAAACAACUUCAGUAGCUCCAUAUAGUCAACACCUAUUAAAUUCUAUCUUUCUGUUCUCCACCAAAGCUUAAACAGUUGUGUUAUAUGGUUGUGGUUAUAUGCUUUCUUCUUUUCUUAUUGUUCAUGCUGUGUUUGGCACAUCUGAAACUAAGACAGUGAAUUUAGAGACUCUAAUUCAGGCAUCUACUUUGGAAAACCUCCACCUGGAAGCAUAGAGGGAGAAGGUUCAGGUGUGGCUUCCAGUUGCUUUACUCAGAGCCUUGAGAGUGCUGAGGUGAGUCAGAAAUGCCUGGGGUAGCUGCUGUUCCUUCUUCCUUUAGAUACUUACUGCAUUGCAAUGGAAGGAGGUGAAAAUACUUUUUAAAUAGCAGUUGGAAGGAAGGCAAUGCAAGAGCUUUAGUGCCUCAGUUGAGUGUAAUGGUAUACUUGCGAAAAUAAGGCUAUUUUCUCUCAUGUAAUUACUGAGGGGAAUUGGGGGCUAAGGAGAGGGGAUAUUGGCAAUGGGAAAAAAAAAAAAUCCAAAGAAGUAGAUGCUGGUUGUAAGUUCCUGAUUUUCUGUUUUGGUUCCAGAGCCAAUUAGAACAAUCUGUAUACGUUUGUAUAGGCUGUUUGUAUUGUAGAGAUUUAUUAUAGCUACUCAAGGCUGUUUUUGAUGUAGGCAGGCAUCUUUUUCUAAUGCUGUGAAAUAGAAACAGUACUGUCUUUAAAGGUUAGGGAAGCAUAUGUGCUCAGUGGCAUGAACUGUAUCUGACUGUUCCAUCUGAUUAUACUGGAAGCAAAUGGAUGUUAAACUUCUGACUUCAAUACCUGAGCUGAUGGUGUGUACACUGUACUGAAGUCAUAUGCAUUAUGUUGGUGGUAGUGUCCUGAGAUGGAGGAAUGUGGAGGCUGGCUUGAAGCUUUAAAACCAGAAAAUAGUUUAAUUAAAAAAACCUUCAGGUCAAUGUCUUUUGCAUUUAACUCUUUCUAAAAAUUAGAGUUCCACAUUUAUGAUACCAUUUUCAAAAGUUUUAUUUUUAUGUGUUUAGGUCUGAUUGAGAGAAGUGUAUUAUCAAAUACACUUUUUGCUGGAGCACCUUCCUUAUGAGGACAGGCUGGGAGAGUUGGGGUUGUUCAGCCUGGAGAAGAGAAGGCUUUGGGUAGACCUUAUAGCGGCCUGCCAGUACUUAAAGGGGGCUACAGGAAAGCUGGGGAGGGACUCUUUAUCAGGGAGUGUAGGGAUAAGACGAGGUUUAACGGUUUUGAACUGAGAGAGGGUAGAUUCAGAUUAGUUCUAAGGAAGAAGUUCUUCCCUGUGCGAGUGGUGAGGCACUGGCACA